GGCAGUUUUGCUGUGCCUUUUCCAGACUUCAGCAGACUUUCAGCAUGGUGUCUCUUGCAGGUAUUUGAAGUGAACAAAUGAAAAACGGAUCCCAGAAAUAAAUAGAAGGGAGUACUUAAAACCCUGGGAGAGUCACUCUACCAACCUAAAGACCCAGCUGUGGUCACGUGGAAAACCAACCCAACAAUUAACAACUACUUGCCUUUUCUGCCACCUUAUAUCUGAAAUAAACCCUUUGAACAGUAGGGUCAGAAUGAAUGAAGAAGAGAGGAGAAAUGAACAAGCUCAGACCAACACUGGGUACCUGAUGUGUUCCUGCAAUCAAGCAACAGAUGGGUCAUGCCCCAGCUCCAAACAGCAGACUGGGAGACUUCAAACUGUCAGGAAGAUGGGGCUUUCUGGUGCCUAGAAAGUGAUCAAACAGCCCUGCCAUCAAAUGCCCUACUUCAUGCUCAACGAACAUUUUAUUAUUAUUAUUAGCUGGCUCUGUCUCCCAAAGAAGUUGUCCCUGACAUCAUGGGUUCACCUGCUUUUUCCCAUCCCAUGUCUCCAUUUCCUUUUGGCACAGAAAGAUGUUUUUCGUAGCAUUACAAUGGACGGGAAUGGGAAUUUGCCCAGCUGAAAAAUAGAUUUUGCCUUUGUUUUGCUCAAGUUAGUUCUUGAGGGAUGUAUCCACCCCUUAUUGCAUGUACAAAC
ensembl:lncRNA